AGAUUAUUCAUCGACCUUUUACAGGGCCAAAAUACCAUCAGAAAACGUUGUGGAUCGCUAUCGUCCCGACGUGUUUGCUGGAGAAAACACAGGUUUAAAGGGAAGGUUGGCGUACAGACUGGAUUCAAACUCAGCGGCGACCAAGAACCCAAAGCGCCAGUGCCUGACCUGGUAUCAAAGCGAGCAAAUGAUGAACUUCAGUCCAUUCACUACCUGUCCCUGCUCUCUCUGGCAAGGGCUAUUUGACAGCAGAUACACAUACGGAUACAACAUAGCUAAUUAUGGAUAUCAGAUUUCGUAUGUCCCAGGCACAUCCUGGAGUCUACAAAGCGUGCAGAUGGAUAUUUACGGGGCAGGGGUCAGGUGCUAUUACAGCUGGUGGGGAGCGUUGCUGUAUGGAAGGUACGAGAAAUAUCUGCCCACUCCGUGGUUUCAGUACCAAUGGUGGUGGUGGUCAUACUACUCUGCGUUUUCGGCCGAACGUAACACCUAUACCG